rnacentral:rRNA from 1 species
GACGAACCGUGCGAACGUUGUUCGGAAUCACUGGGCUUAAAGGGCGCGUAGGCGGAUUGUUAAGUCAGGGGUGAAAUCCUGGAGCUCAACUCCAGAACUGCCUUUGAUACUGGCGAUCUCGAGUCCGGGAGAGGUGAGUGGAACUGCGAGUGUAGAGGUGAAAUUCGUAGAUAUUCGCAAGAACACCAGUGGCGAAGGCGGCUCACUGGCCCGGUACUGACGCUGAGGUGCGAAAGCGUGGGGAGCAAACAGG